rnacentral:rRNA from 1 species
AGACGUCUACAUUAGAUACCCGUGUAGUCCCAGCCGUAAACUAUGCGCGUUAGGUGUAUCGGUGACCACGAGUUACCGAGGUGCCGAAGGGAAACCGUGAAACGUGCCGCCUGGGAAGUACGGUCGCAAGGCUGAAACUUAAAGGAAUUGCGGGGAGCACCACAACGGGUGGAGCCUGCGGUUUAAUUGGACUCAACGCCGGGAAGCUCACCGGAUAAGACAGCGGAAUGAUUGCCGGGCUGAAGACUCUGCAUGACUAGCUG